UACGUAGGGUCUAAGCGUUAUCCGGAAUUACUGGGCGUAAAGAGUUGCGUAGGUGGCAUGGUAAGCGAAUAGUGAAAUGACGAGGCUCAACCUUGUGUCCAUUAUUUGAACUGCCAAGCUAGAGAAUGAGAGAGGUCACUGGAAUUCCCUGUGUAGGAGUGAAAUCCGUAGAUAUAGGGAGGAACACCGAUGGCGUAGGCAGGUGACUGGCUCAUUUCUGACACUAAGGCACGAAAGCGUGGGGAGCAAACGGG
rnacentral:rRNA from 1 species